UACGUAGGGGGCAAGCGUUGUCCGGAUUUAUUGGGCGUAAAGAGCGUGUAGGCGGUUUGGUAGGUCCGCUGUGAAAACUCGAGCUCAACCUCGAGACGCCGGUGGAAACCAUCAGACUAGAGUCCGGAAGAGGAGAGUGGAAUUCCUGGUGUAGCGGUGAAAUGCGCAGAUAUCAGGAGGAACACCUAUUGCGAAGGCAGCUCGCUGGACGUUACUGACGCUGAGACGCGAAGCGUGGGGAGCAAACAGG
rnacentral:rRNA from 1 species